GAAAACGAUGGCUAAUACCGCAUGAUGCCUACGGGCCAAAGAGGGGNACCUUCGGGCCUCUCGCGUCAGGAUAUGCCUAGGUGGGAUUAGCUAGUUGGUGAGGUAAGGGCUCACCAAGGCGACGAUCCCUAGCUGGUCUGAGAGGAUGAUCAGCCACACUGGAACUGAGACACGGUCCAGACUCCUACGGGAGGCAGCAGUGGGGAAUAUUGCACAAUGGGCGCAAGCCUGAUGCAGCCAUGCCGCGUGUAUGAAGAAGGCCUUCGGGUUGUAAAGUACUUUCAGUCGUGAGGAAGGCGGUGUCGUUAAUAGCGGCAUUGUUUGACGUUAGCGACAGAAGAAGCACCGGCUAACUCCGUGCCAGCAGCCGCGGUAAUACGGAGGGUGCGAGCGUUAAUCGGAAUUACUGGGCGUAAAGCGCAUGCAGGUGGUUUGUUAAGUCAGAUGUGAAAGCCCGGGGCUCAACCUCGGAAUAGCAUUUGAAACUGGCAGACUAGAGUACUGUAGAGGGGGGUAGAAUUUCAGGUGUAGCGGUGAAAUGCGUAGAGAUCUGAAGGAAUACCGGUGGCGAAGGCGGCCCCCUGGACAGAUACUGACACUCAGAUGCGAAAGCGUGGGGAGCAAACAGG
rnacentral:rRNA from 2 species